GCGCAUGUAGAUGAAAGAGGAAGUAGAUGAAGAGCACCAAAGCCGUUACCAGAAGAGAGAGAGCACAGCCUUUGCCGUCUCUCCCGCUUCAGCCUGGGGCUUGACAACUGGGGCUGUGCUAUCCCUCUUCUGCUGCCGGAUUUGUUGCAUGUUAGUCCUUCCUCCGAAUCUCGUACGUGCGU